CUUACCAGGUGGAGAAAGGGUACUCUGAUCUGAAGAAACAAUGUGAACAAAAUUACAGAGGCAUGAAGAUACACGGUACAUGUAGAGACCUUCUAACAGUCCAGAGUAGAGAUCACAAACUCAGAUGCCUGCAGGGUCAUACAGGUCACUCAAAUGUGUGAGACAGGUGAGCGGAGCCGUGGAAGAAAUGAUUUGUCCACAUCGUGGAGGAAAUACACGAUCACAGGUUGGAACUGCAAUGAAGAGGAUAUGCUUAUAGCACUAAGAAGCUAGUUGACCAUCUGGCAGUGGAGGAGGACACAGCAGACCCAGCUUCAAUUCCAUAUCAUUUUCUUGAGUCCAAGAAUGACUAAGGUUAGAAGAGAAUGCUGCUUAUCAAAAUUUCCUACAUCGCGUCCAAGAUGAAC